rnacentral:rRNA from 1 species
UGGAAUCGCUAGUAAUCGGAUAUCAGCCAUGAUCCGGUGAAUACGUUCCCGGGCCUUGUACACACCGCCCGUCAAGCCAUGGAAGCUGGGGGUGCCUGAAGUCGGUGACCGCAAGGAGCCGCCUAGGGUAAAACCGGUAACUAGGGCUAAGUCGUAACAAGGUAGCCGUACCGGAAGGUGUGGCUGGAAUACCUCCUUUCUGGAGC